rnacentral:rRNA from 1 species
CAGUCGCCACGGGAAUACGGAGGGAGCUAGCGUUGUUCGGAAUUACUGGGCGUAAAGCGCGCGUAGGCGGUUACUCAAGUCAGAGGUGAAAGCCCGGGGCUCAACCCCGGAACUGCCUUUGAAACUAGGUGACUAGAAUCUUGGAGAGGUCAGUGGAAUUCCGAGUGUAGAGGUGAAAUUCGUAGAUAUUCGGAGGAACACCAGUGGCGAAGGCGGCUCACUGGUCCAUUACUGACGCUGAGGUGCGAAAGCGUGGGGAGCAAACAGGAUUAGAUACCCCAGUAGUCCCUGUCUCUUAUAC